rnacentral:rRNA from 1 species
GAUGAACGCUGGCGGCGUGCCUAAUACAUGCAAGUCGAGCGAACAGACGAGGAGCUUGCUCCUUUGACGUUAGCGGCGGACGGGUGAGUAACACGUAGGUAACCUACCUAUAAGACUGGGAUAACUUCGGGAAACCGGAGCUAAUACCGGAUAAUAUUUCGAACCGCAUGGUUCGAUAGUGAAAGAUGGCUUUGCUAUCACUUAUAGAUGGACCUGCGCCGUAUUAGCUAGUUGGUAAGGUAACGGCUUACCAAGGCAACGAUACGUAGCCGACCUGAGAGGGUGAUCGGCCACACUGGAACUGAGACACGGUCAGACUCCUACGGGAGGCAGCAGUAGGGAAUCUUCCGCAAUGGGCGAAAGCCUGACGGAGCAACGCCGCGUGAGUGAUGAAGGUCUUCGGAUCGUAAAACUCUGUUAUUAGGGAAGAACAAACGUGUAAGUAACUGUGCACGUCUUGACGGUACCUAAUCAGAAAGCCACGGCUAACUACGUG